UAGCAGAUGAACGAAAUCCACAGGGGUUAGGUGGGCCUUCCAAAGCCACAGCCAAGAAAGGACACGCUUGAAGGCCUCCUGGCUCCUAGCUGAAUGUUUGUUCCUGCCACCUUCAGUCCUGGUUCUUGAUAAGAGGCUGGUUACAACCUUCAAACUGAGCCCUUGAGAAAAGAAAUCUAGCAUCUUCAAGGAAACAUGGGGUCCUCUGACUCUCCAGAUACAUGGAUGUCACUGAAGGCACUUCACAGUUGUAUUGGAAGUCCAUCUGUCAUCUACAGUUAUUGCACCCCCUGGUUGCACCCAUCCCAUUCUUGAUUAUUGCUGCACACCAGGGCUUCCUGAGCAGAGGGGAGGCCAAGGGGCCCUUUGCAGAAAUGACUGGGAGGUGUCCCAUGUGCUUCAUGAUGUUCAGGACUGUUUAACCACCACCCAAAAAGCUGCUCCCUUGGGAACCCAGAAGGGUAGUUUGAAGUCUUGACGUAGAAGAAAAUGUCUGCCAUCCUUACCUCCAACCUCUCCUUCAAUGAGAGAACAGAAUUUCUAUCCACAAGAAGGGACUGUGUCACAUCCAAUCGGACCAUGUUUUACUCUUUAAAAA
ensembl:lncRNA